UCGUACGGCCCACCCAGGUCCAAUCUACCAAUGCUGAAAUCCGACGGUGCAGAAGGCGAUUGAUACUUCCGAACUCAUUUUCCCCUUUCUUCCGCGGACCAGAAAAGAGAGGGCAAACGAAAUCCACGAGCGGAGAAGAGGAGAUCAGGAUGCGGCUUUCCUUCCCCCUCGUCGCCGGCGCCGUCGUGGCUGGAGUGAUUUCUGGGAAUGUGAUAUUUGGACCACCGCUCCAGAAGUACUGGGCAGAGAAGCAGCAGCAAGAACAGGCGGCAAAAGAAGGCCAAAAUGGGUCGACUUAACGGAGAUAUCUUUCAUGUUUCGCUGAGUCAAUGUCGCCAUACUUAUCUCGAUACAGACAAACAAUUCACAAACAAACUAAUACAGUGAUGUGAAAAUGUACUUGGGUUAUUCGAUAGCCUUGGUUUUUUUGA